CCCUGCUAGGCAGGGGGGGUUGGAACUACAUGAUUCUUGAGGUCCCUUCCAACCUGGGUCAUUCUGUGAUUCUGUGAUUCUGUGAUUCUGUGAUUCUGUGUAAGGUCUCAUCCCAUAUGAACACUGUCUUUCCCACUUCCACAGAGAGUAAUGAGAUGUCCACUGCCUGUCCACUGCCUCUUCUGCAUAUGGCAGUGACCACAGAAAAUUUGAGAAGCAGGUGGAAAACAAAGGUGAACUGAAUGACAGCUGAAGACUUUCAUCUCUUGAUAGCAGUAUGUAUAUGAUUCAGAAACAACUGAAGUACAGAGGAAGAAUUUAAGAGACCAGAAACAAAAUAGAUGUCCCAUCAUGAGCUUAGAAGUCCAACUUCAGUCUUCUUAUAAUUGCUUCAUAUGACAAGAUAGAACAAGUCUAUCUUUUCCAGUAAAAAGACAAAAGGGGAGGGAAGAUUACAGGCAAAGGGUGAUAACAUAUAUCAGGUUAGUGAUGUGGACAUACUGUUCAGGAAAUUAUUUUUCUGUUUUCUUUUUCUUUUGUUUUGUUUUGAUCCAAG
rnacentral:lncRNA from 1 species